UACAGAGGGGGCAAGCGUUGUUCGGAAUUACUGGGCGUAAAGGGCGCGUAGGCGGCCCGCUAAGUCGAACGUGAAAUCCCUCGGCUUAACCGGGGAACUGCGUCUGAUACUGGAUGGCUUGAGUUUGGGAGAGGGAUGCGGAAUUCCAGGUGUAGCGGUGAAAUGCGUAGAUAUCUGGAGGAACACCGGUGGCGAAGGCGGCAUCCUGGACCAACACUGACGCGUGAGUGAAGCGAAAGGCCAG
rnacentral:rRNA from 1 species